GAUGAAGAACGUAGUGAAAUGCGAAAAGUAAUGUGAAUUGCAGAAUUCAGUGAAUCAUCGAAUCUUUGAACGCACAUUGCGCCCGCUGGUACUCCGGCGGGCACGCCUGUCCGAGCGUCAUUUCAACCCUCAAGCCCUCCUUCGGGAUGGGCCUGGUGUUGGGGCUCGGCCGCCAUCUCCGGCGGCCGUCCCCUAAAUACAGUGGCGGUCACGUCGCGACUCCUUUGCGUAGUAGAAACACCUCGCUCCGGAUAGCAACGCGGUCCACGCCGUAAAAUCCCCAAUUUUCAAUGGUUGACCUCGGAUCAGGUGGGAAUACCCGCUGAACUUAAGCAUAUCAAUAAGCGGAGGA
rnacentral:misc_RNA from 1 species